GUCCCAAUUACAGCGGCGUCAGGGAGGUAUAAAUUCAGAUCUCCAGGCUCCGUGUGUCUCUGCAGAUAAACUCACCGGUGCCUAUGAGAACCAAUUCCCAUUAUAAAGCACCACGUAAAACGACAGAGACCUUGGGACCGCUGAGAGCAGAAGAAACAAUAAACAUCCCACAGAGAGGAAAUGAAGUUCCCCCCCUCCCGUCUUUCCUCUUCGCUCCACCGCAUAAUAAUGAUACAGCCCUCAAGGUUUGGCAUCAGUUCCCGUCUGCAGGAACCAUACUGAAGGUUCUUUAUCACAGCAGGCUUCCCAGAGGCCAGCAAUCUUCUGCCACCUGGUUAAGCUGGCUUUAUAGCUGUGUCACAUCAGAAGUAGUGAAUAAAGGAGUAAUUAAGGGACAAGAGAAGGCACAGUGCAGCUCUAGCAGGACUGCCUGGAGAUGAAAAGACAGUGGUUUUGGGGUGUGAAGCUGGAUCAAGUUUCACACUGAAGGCUGGUGAUAGCAACAAAGCAUUUGGGAGCUGGCUACAAACCCAUCAAGGACAUACUGGGACAAGCUGAAUGUGCCACAUUCAUCCCUUAAGGGUUACAGCUCCACCUCACCAGGACAUCCCAGCUCCCCUCCAUGCCUGCUUGUUCCCAGCUAAAGUGCAGAGCUGCUGGGUUUCCCCUCAUUCCUGGGAGUCCUCAGCCACUACAAAGCAAGCAGAGCCAGCUGGAAAGCUAGAGGGAGGCAGCCCAUCAGGCAAGUGUGCAUUUGAUAAGCCUUCUGUGGCCAAUGCACCAGAAGCAAAUCCUCUCAGGAGCCAUAGAAUCAUGGAAUAACAGAUUGGAGCCCUGGUCUAUGCUUUGUGAGGAAGCAGGGGAUGGGUGAUGCUUUGAAAACCAGACGGCCAGACUUGCAUAGGCAUCACCCUGUAGGAAAGAGUCUGAAAAGACCAUCAAAUUAACUGAUUACUGCAAAAUGUGCAUUAGCUUCCCUUCUACAUGCUCCAGGCUUCCUUCUUUCCAUCCACCCAAGUACUGAAGCCCUAUAAAUGGGGAUUGCAGACAGUGUGUGAAGUAAUUUUUAUGGCUGAAAAAAAGAUAUGAAGUUAACAGAUGCUUUUAAAGCACAUUCAUCCUAACCUGGGUGCCUUGGAGCCAUUCUUGCUCUAGUAUUGCACUUAAAGAUUUUUCACCCUGGAACUUGGGAAACUAAAGAGUUUGGUGCGUUUUGAUAACAAAUUGGAUCAAAUUGUCUGGGUACUCUGUGCCUGAGGCAGAUGUUGUAAUGAAGCUGGAAAACACUUGGAAAAGCCUGAUUUCCCUCUCUAUGAUAUCUGCAUGAUGCCGGGCUGUGAGUUGGAGGAAAGGGGAACUUUUCCUCAAGAAAUCAUCCUUUGCUGAUGUUUCUUUGCUUAAUAGCUUGAUAACUGGUUGAGUUAGUCUAGCUUUCCUGGGAAAGUUUCACUAGCACCUCUUUUGCUUCCUACAUUGGAUCUUCAUUAGCUGAUCAGGUUCUCAUACUCACCUGCCUAUUUUGUAGUGUGUGAGCUCAGCUCUUAGCAAACACUGAAG